rnacentral:rRNA from 1 species
AUGGGCGAGCGGCUCGCCGGCGCCGAGAAAGAGGUGCUCGUGGAGAUCGUGAGGUUCACCCAGAAGAACGGCCUGAAGGGGGCCGAGGGGGGAUGGAAGGAUUUCCUGGCCCGGAACGACAAGAAGUUCGGCGCCUCCGUCAGCGACCCCAAGAAGCGGACCAAGGACGUGCUGCUCGCGUUCCUUGUAACCUUCUCCAAAGAUUUUCAGAAGUACUUCCGCAAAUUGGUGAGGCGUCACGCUGAACGGAGAGCUAUCGAGCAGUACAUGAAUGAGUUUUCCGGCAAGGUUUCUCCUGAGCAGAAGCUUGUUCAGUUGACGACAGAACACCUUGACUACAGGAAAAACUACUACUUCCCAUCUUAUCAAGAGGGGUGGAAAAUAAUGCGGAUAGGAAAAGUUUCUAGUAGUAUGAACUCUGGAGUCAUGUUGGCAAUUGACUGUGAGAUGGUCCUUUGCCACGAUGGUACAGAAGCUGUCGUCCGAGUAUGUGUUGUAGACAACAAACUGGAGGUGAAGUUGGAUACACUUGUAAAUCCCCUCAAAGCUGUUGCAGAUUACAGGACACACAUCACUGGUGUAUCUAAGAAGGAUUUAGAAGGAGUCACAUGCUCAUUAGUUGAUAUUCAGAAAUCAUUGAAGAAAAUCUUGGCCAAAGGAAAGAUUUUGGUUGGCCAUAGCUUAUAUAGAGAUCUAUAUGCUCUCAAGUUUGAUUACAGUCGAGUCAUUGAUACGGCAUACAUCUUUAAGUAUGCGAAUUUACCUACUACUUCAACAGCUUCUUUGAACAGCCUUUGCAAGUCUGUUUGUGGGUAUUCCGUUCGGGAGGACGGAGAACCACAUAACUGCUUGAAGGAUGCAGAAGCUGCGAUGAAUCUAGUUACUGCAAAGCUCAAGCAUGGAUUUAAUGAUCCCAUCGAAAUUGCGGAGAAUAGUGUACCUGAACCUGACCAGAUGAAGUUGCUUGCUCAUAGAAUUCCAGUGUACCUUCCUUGUCAAGAGCUGCUUAAAAUAUUCUCUGGGAAUCCCAGCAUCGAUGAGAAGAUUGAUUCAAGGAUUCGAGGCGAGUUUUACUCUACGUGUAUUUCUUUUAAUGACAUAGAUGAGGCAGAUAAAGCCUUUGAUGAAUUAGAUGGCCAAGAGACUAAGGACUCCAGUGGACGACUCCAGAAAUCGGUGCUCCUGAAGCGUGACAAUGGAGAUGUCGCGGGCUUCUUUGUCCGGAAGAUGGUAUAUGGUUCCCGACUCAGCAAUUCUGAUGUUUUGAAGAAGAGGCCACAGCCUACUGAGAACACGGAGCAAAAGAAAGAAGAUGCCAAUGGGGAUAAGCGAAAAAGGCAAAGAACUAGCAAGAAGCAUGCGGAGAAAGCAAAGGCACUGGUUGUCGAGUGA